UACGAAGGGGGCUAGCGUUGCUCGGAAUCACUGGGCGUAAAGCGCACGUAGGCGGAUUGUUAAGUCAGGGGUGAAAUCCCGAGGCUCAACCUCGGAACUGCCUUUGAUACUAUUGGUCUUGAAUGUUGUUGAGGUGGGCGGAACGGGUCAUGUAGCGGUGAAAUGCAUAGAUAUGACCCGGAACACCGAUUGCGAAGGCAGCCCGCUAAGCAACUAUUGACGCUGAGGCACGAAAGCGUGGGGAUCAAACAGG
rnacentral:rRNA from 1 species